rnacentral:lncRNA from 1 species
CCUUACUGUAGGGGACUGAAGACAAACCUGCAAUAUCUCUGAGAGUAUUCUAGCUGCCUCCGCCUUUGAGACAGAGCAGGAAGAACCUGUGGAUGGUGGGAUUCCCUCUUCUUGGAGAAGGGGAUGAGCAUUUCCCGCUGCCCUCCUGACACGCCCGUGGCUGUCUGCCUUGCUCUGUACCUCCAGACUUCAUGGAAAGCAUGCUCGACCUUUGACUUCUGGGUGGGUGACUUGGGGCACACCCAAGCAGGAGACCAGCCUGCAGAGAGGGGGCCUAUGUCACUCUGGCCACUCUGUGGUUGGGCUGGCUGUGGCCCACAGACCCUCUGCUCCCUCUGUGAGUCCCCUUGGGCCCCUUUCCUCUUUCCUAGGGUGUGAGUGUGGCACCCUUCAUGACACUCUUCCUAAUCACCCCAUAGGGUGUGCCGCUUCCUUCCUGCGGGAACUCUAACUGGCCCUGUGUAAUGAUCUUUUACACAGAGCUCGUAAAACUAACCCCUGGCCCUGAUGAGUCUUUGGAACAUGAGGCUUACCGGUGAUGAAUAACUCCCAGCAAUCACUGAAACAUCACAAGCUUCUGUCUCUGCUUCCCGCUCCACACCGCCCUCUGCUCUGCUUAGUCUGGUUCAUGUUUUGCAUUCACAUCAUUGCUAUUGUUGUUUUUUCUCCCGUUCCUCUGGACUCCUUUUUGUUGCCCAGCACUAACAAUCAUAAAACUUAUGUUCUAAAAUCAUAAAACUGCAAUGGAGAGCAAAGACAAAAAACAAAUGGUUUUAAGUUAGAGUUGUAACACUACAUAAUUUACUACCUCGGGAGGAUGGGAUGAGAAUUCUGGUCAAAUGAAAUUUCUCUGGUCUAUAAAUCUGCUAUUUCCAAUUGGUACUUUGGCUUUCCAAAAUGUUUAACAAACAGGACUUUGGGGGCUACAUGUUUUUCACAAACCUGUUUGGGAUAUAUUAGUUAUAGUUUUUGGCUACACAAGAAAGUAAGUCAAAAUUUAAUUUGUGCAAGAAUAAUAGACUUGUUUUUUUAAUGAUAAAUGAAAAGAAAAUUUGGAAGAGACUGUGUUUCCUCACAGAUUCUGCCACCUUGGGACUCCUAACCCUACCAAAAAAUCUAGAUGGGAUGAGGAAUUGUUUUCCAUAUUUUCAUGCAUUUUAGAACAAUUAUUUUUUAUUUUUAGUUUUAGCUCCACAAAUAUGACCAAUGAUAUUGCAUAUUAAAGUAAAAAUUUGAAAACAGCUAUGCAUCCACAGGUUAAAUUUUUAUUUCUGUGGUUUAAAUCUGAUUUCACCACAUUUUCCCCCAAUGAAAUGGAUGCUUGGUAAUGCAGUUAAAUAUCUGACUUUUCAGGAGCAUAAAAUAGCAGCUCUUCUUCCUGGGGAUGGGGCAGUGGCCACCCCAAGGUGUGGAGGGCUUUCCUGUGGAAGCAUCACAUGGACUCAUCAUCUGUGGCUCCAGUGGAGAAACCUGGAGUCAAUGGAUGUACGCUGGAGGGAGACCAACUUCAACUUCAUACGAGGAAACAUUUCUAAUAAUUAGGUUAGCGGAGGUACAAACUGCCUUGAAGGGCUGUGCUUUUUCUGCCUCUGAAAUUUCUUCAGGAAAGCCUGAGCUGUAUGCUGCAAAUGAGAAGCUUAACUUGUUAACCUCAAGCAAGGAUUAAAUUAAGUUCCAGUGACAUAUCACUGAUCUUCAUAUAGACCAAUGGAACAGAGCAGAGGCCUCAGAAAUAAUGCCACACAUCUGCAACUGUCUGAUCUUUGACAAACCUGACAAAAACAAGCAACUGGGAAAGGACUCCCUAUUUAAUAAAUGGUGCUGGGAAAACUGGCUAGCCAUAUGCAGAAAACUGAAACUGGAGCCCUUCCUUAUACCUUAUAUAAAAAUUAACUCAAGAUGGGUUAAAGACUUAAAUAUAACAUAAAACCAUAAAAACCCUAGAAGAAAACCUAGACAAUACCAUUCAGGACAUAGGCAUGGCCAAUGACUUCAUGACUAAAACAUGAAAAGCAAUGGCAAUGAAAGCCAAAAUUGACAAAUGGGAUCUAAUUAAACUAAAGAGCUUCUGCACAGCAAAAGAAACUAUCAUCAGAGUCAACAGGCAACCUACAUGGGAGAAAAUAUUUGCAAUCUAUCUAUUUGACAAAGGGCUAAUAUCUAGAAUUUACAAGGAACUUAAACAAAUUUACAAGAAAAAAACAACCCCAUCAAAAAGUGGGCAAAGGAUGUGAACAGCCACUUCUCAAAAGAAGACAUUUAUGCAGACAACAAACAUAUGUAAAAAAGCUCAUCAUCACUGGUCAUUAGAGAAAUGCAAAUCAAAACCACAAUGAGAUACCAUCUCGUGCCAGUUAGAAUGGCAAUCAUUAAAAAGUCAGGAAACAACAGAUGCUGGAGAGGAUGUGGAGAAAUAGGAACACUUUUACAUUGUUGGUGGGAGUGUAGAUUAGUUAAACCAUUGUGGAAGUCAGUGUGGCGAU